GCCGAGGUGGUGGAAUUCGGUAGACACGCUACCUUGAGGUGGUAGUGCCCAAUAGGGUUUAAGAUGCGGGUUCAAGUCCCGUCCCGGUACCA
rnacentral:tRNA from 1 species